AUUAGAUAAAAAACCAAUGCCCUCACGGGCUUUUCUGGUGAUUCAUAAUAACUAAACGAAUCGCAUGGCCUUGUGCCGGCGAUGGUUCAUUCAAAUUUCUGCCCUAUCAACUUUCGAUUGUAGGGUUUUGGCCUACAAUGGUUUCAACGGGUAACGGGGAAUUAGGGUUCGAUUCCGGAGAAGGGGCCUGAGAAACGGCCACUACAUCCAAGGAAGGCAGCAGGCGCGCAAAUUACCCAAUCCCGACACGGGGAGGUAGUGACAAUAAAUACUGAUACAGGGCUCUUUUGGGUCUUGUAAUUGGAAUGAGUACAAUUUAAAUCCCUUAACGAGGAACAAUUGGAGGGCAAGUCUGGUGCCAGCAGCCGCGGUAAUUCCAGCUCCAAUAGCGUAUAUUAAAGUUGUUGCAGUUAAAAAGCUCGUAGUUGAACUUUGGGUCUGGCUGGCCGGUCCGCCCUCACCGCGUGCACUGGUCCGGCCGGACCUUUCCUCUUGGGGAUUCUCAUGCCCUUUCUGGG
rnacentral:rRNA from 1 species